GGUAAUGUGUCCGAGCGGUCGAAGGAGCACGCCUCGAAAGCGUGUGAUGGGUAACCUCAUCCGUGGGUUCAAAUCCCACCAUUACCGCCA
rnacentral:tRNA from 1 species